rnacentral:tmRNA from 1 species
GGCUACACCCGUAGAAGAGUCAUGAACGCUGCAGUGGACCCGGGUUCGAUUCCCGGCAUCUCCACCA